CAGUUUUUUACUGUUUUUUGAUUCCUGACUUGAGCGACGGAGGAUUCUAGCCGGAGCGAAAAUUUUUGGCCCAGAUUUUAUUUUACAGGUCACUCCAGCACCCCUGUGCAACACCCAGUCGCUCACCUUCCGAUCUUAACUAGAACCAGUAGCAACAGACAGAGGAAGGGUCAAUUUUCGCAUCAUGCCAUCAAAGAAAACCACCACCAGGCAAUCGGGAUGAUCUGCCACCUCUCAAAUUGUCACUGGUGCUGGAGAAAAUCACACACCAACAUCACAACAACCGGUUCCUCUGCCACCAAUGCAGCUAGCCCAAGGUGUUUUUUAAGACCAGUUUGCCUUACUGAUCGAUCAAGUCCG
rnacentral:lncRNA from 1 species